rnacentral:misc_RNA from 1 species
AACGUAUCAGGAUGAACCGGACCGUCAACUGGUGGUCAAACGCUGAGACAGCGUGUAUCAGGGCGGCGAUAACUCCAUUAUCGCGCAACGGAAUUUCCGCUUGAACAAGCCGCAGCCCGCUAAACCAUUCCUCGACGUUCUCUCCGGAAGCCGCCGGUCCGUGCCGCCGGUCUGGAUGAUGCGGCAGGCCGGCCGUUACCU